CUCAUGAUAUGUGAAAUGCAAUUCAAAGUAGCAACUACAGCUUGGUUAUAUGCAAGUUUUAUGAAGUCUUCUAAAUGAUGAACCUAAAUUGGAUAAUAGAGCUGUGCGCAGUAUUGAUUUCUGCAGAAUGUGUCCAGUCAAAUGAUCCACUAAUAAACGUUAGUCCGCUGUGUAAAUCCAACUUGGUAGUUACUUGUAAUGCGAGUAGUGGACUAUACGGAUAUUGGACAUUUUAUAGAAGUCGCAAUGGCUCUGAAGACAUGGAAAACAUAGGAAAGGUAUCUGAUAAUGAACGAGAAUGCGAAGUCACCACCCUAAAAACUACACAAUCAACGCAGUGUAUUUGCAUCGACGCCAAUCAUGUCACGUGCAAUAUAUUCGAUUAUAUGAUUGCUAAACCAGGUCACAGUUGGAAAUGUGCUAGACAUGUACAUGGAUCUUCACUUGUAAGCGUGUCCGAUGUGAUACCAAUGGAAGAUAUAAAUGAAUGUACAACGACAACACAAACAGCAACACAAAUCAUAAAAAACGAAAGUAAAAUGACUGAAAGUUUUGAGAAUGAAACGAGCAAGGUUUCUACGACUGAAGUGAUGUUGACAAAGACGGCAGGAAAAGAAAACGGCAUAACAACCGAAGAAAACGAACAUAAGGAAUCUCCUGCGAAACAUGACAGUAAGAAACCGGAAUAUAUUAUUUAUUUGUUUAGUGUUUGAAUUGUUAUUAUAAAAAUCGAACGGGACUGCAAGCUGGUCGACGCUAACAUGCCUUCCAAAUGGACACACAAUAAAAGGCGUUUAAAACAGCGAUAAUUAAUGUAUUGUCGCUUUACAGCCGUAAAGGCUCAAGCGUUUUGCCAAACACAUACAAUUAAUAUUCAGAAAUUUCAGAAGUAUUAUGGUAUCAGUAUGUAUGAUUAAACAUUUGCACAUUUUUUAAAGUGCACCAUAAAAAUCGUCAAAUGUAUGCCACUGGUGUUUUCAUCAAAAUGUUCGUGUUGCUUUCAGUUACGCAUGUAUCACUUAUGAUUGCCGGGUCGUUUGUUUUGUUUGGACUCAUCGAAAGUAGCAUUGGCUCAUUUCCUAAUGCAUUGUCGAAAAAGAGGUGGUGCCUGUGAUUAACGACCGUGUACUUUUAAAACUAGUACAUGUAAUACAAAUACGCAUUUUUCUAUUACAUCAUUUAGAUAUUUUUAUUUUUAAGACACAGAAGACUGAGAAGCUUAAAACAGUAUAAAACCUUUGUAUGUUUAUUGUUCAUUAAUGUCAUAAUUGAUAUAUUAUCUAUGUUAAAUUGGAAGUUUUUUUUUAUAUUACAUGUGUUUGGUCGGUCAUAUUUGUUUAUGCAUUGUAGUUUCACACGGAUUGUGGUAUACUGCGGAGUGUGAGUCACAAAAGGCUUUAUAGGAGAGAUCACGUGAUGCUCAUAAGUUGUUCGUAAUCCCGAACACCUGUAAAAAAACGAUAUUGCAACAAAUAGUAAAGGACCAUAAGUAAUCACUCGUGCAUGUAGAGAAAUGAACAAGUAAAAAUGUAUGCGUUUAGGUAUUUUUACUACCGCACGUGAAUCAUUUCUUUAUUUUUUAAGAAUUAUUUUAUUAUGUAAGACUAAAGUACUAACACUCUGAUUAACACAAUUUAUUUUAAAUCAAGAA